rnacentral:rRNA from 1 species
GGGAACUGUGAGACAGGUGCUGCAUGGCUGUCGUCAGCUCGUGUUGUGAAAUGUUGGGUUAAGUCCCGCAACGAGCGCAACCCUUAUCCUUUGUUGCCAGCGGUUCGGCCGGGAACUCAAAGGAGACUGCCAGUGAUAAACUGGAGGAAGGUGGGGAUGACGUCAAGUCAUCAUGGCCCUUACGAGUAGGGCUACACACGUGCUACAAUGGCGCAUACAAAGAGAAGCGACCUCGCGAGAGCAAGCGGACCUCAUAAAGUGCGUCGUAGUCCGGAUCGGAGUCUGCAACUCGACUCCGUGAAGUCGGAAUCGCUAGUAAUCGUAGAUCAGAAUGCUACGGUGAAUACGUUCCCGGGCCUUGUACACACCGCCCGUCACACCAUGGGAGUGGGUUGCAAAAGAAGU